GAUGAACGCUGGCGGCGUGCCUAAUACAUGCAAGUCGAGCGAACAGACGAGGAGCUUGCUCCUCUGACGUUAGCGGCGGACGGGUGAGUAACACGUGGAUAACCUACCUAUAAGACUGGGAUAACUUCGGGAAACCGGAGCUAAUACCGGAUAAUAUAUUGAACCGCAUGGUUCAAUAGUGAAAGACGGUUUUGCUGUCACUUAUAGAUGGAUCCGCGCCGCAUUAGCUAGUUGGUAAGGUAACGGCUUACCAAGGCAACGAUGCGUAGCCGACCUGAGAGGGUGAUCGGCCACACUGGAACUGAGACAAGGUCCAGACUCCUACGGGAGGCAGCAGUAGGGAAUCUUCCGAAAUGGGCGAAAGCCUGACGGAGCAACGCCGCGUGAGUGAUGAAGGUCUUCGGAUCGUAAAACUCUGUUAUUAGGGAAGAACAAAUGUGUAAGUAACUAUGCACGUCUUGACGGUACCUAAUCAGAAAGCCACGGCUAACUACGUG
rnacentral:rRNA from 1 species